CAUUAAAUCAGUUAUCGUUUAUUUGAUAGUACCUUACUACUUGGAUAACCGUGGUAAUUCUAGAGCUAAUACAUGCUAAAAACCCCGACUUCGGAAGGGGUGUAUUUAUUAGAUAAAAAACCAAUGCCCUUCGGGGCUCCUUGGUGAUUCAUAAUAACUUAACGAAUCGCAUGGCCUUGUGCCGGCGAUGGUUCAUUCAAAUUUCUGCCCUAUCAACUUUCGAUGGUAGGAUAGUGGCCUACCAUGGUUUCAACGGGUAACGGGGAAUUAGGGUUCUAUUCCGGAGAGGGAGCCUGAGAAACGGCUACCACAUCCAAGGAAGGCAGCAGGCGCGCAAAUUACCCAAUCCCGACACGGGGAGGUAGUGACAAUAAAUACUGAUACAGGGCUCUUUUGGGUCUUGUAAUUGGAAUGAGUACAAUUUAAAUCCCUUAACGAGGAACAAUUGGAGGGCAAGUCUGGUGCCAGCAGCCGCGGUAAUUCCAGCUCCAAUAGCGUAUAUUAAAGUUGUUGCAGUUAAAAAGCUCGUAGUUGAACCUUGGGCCUGGCUGGCCGGUCCGCCUCACCGCGUGCACUGGUCCGGCCGGGCCUUUUCCUUCUGGGGAGCCGCAUGCCCUUCACUGGGUGUGUCGGGGAACCAGGACUUUUACUUUGAAAAAAUUAGAGUGUUCAAAGCAGGCCUAUGCUCGAAUACAUUAGCAUGGAAUAAUGAAAUAGGACGUGUGGUUCUAUUUUGUUGGUUUCUAGGACCGCCGUAAUGAUUAAUAGGGAUAGUCGGGGGCAUCAGUAUUCAAUUGUCAGAGGUGAAAUUCUUGGAUUUAUUGAAGACUAACUACUGCGAAAGCAUUUGCCAAGGAUGUUUCAUUAAAUCAGUGAACGAAAGUUAGGGGAUCGAAGACGAUCAGAUACCGU
rnacentral:rRNA from 1 species